rnacentral:rRNA from 1 species
UACGAAGGGGGCUAGCGUUGCUCGGAAUCACUGGGCGUAAAGGGUGCGUAGGCGGGUCUUAAGUCAGGGGUGAAAUCCUGGAGCUCAACUCCAGAACUGCCUUUGAUACUGAAGAUCUUGAGUUCGGGAGAGGUGAGUGGAACUGCGAGUGUAGAGGUGAAAUUCGUAGAUAUUCGCAAGAACACCAGUGGCGAAGGCGGCUCACUG